UAAUCCAGUUUCCUAUACCAUAUGAAUGUGCGAAGGGGCCCAGCAAAAUGGGAACCAACAACGAGGCUCCAAGGGAUUCGAGCAUAAGCCAAGUUAUAUAUAGUCGAUGCAUUGCAUAUUGAUGAAAUUUCAAAGGGUCGAGGGAAUUCACUCUUUGCGGCCCCGAACAAUCAUCCCUGUAAUGAAAUCGUUGGCUGUGCCGCUGCCGGUGCGUUCCGGUUCGGGCUUGGCCGCGAAUCCAAUGAAGAAAAAUACAAAGGCUUCAGCAAUACUCUACCACUACCCGUGCCCCGACGGGGCUUUCGCUGCUUUGGCCGCUCACCUUUACUUCUCUGCUGCGUCUCUCCCGGUCCUCUUCUUUCCCAACACCGUAUACAAUCCCAUCACACCAUCACAGCUUCCUCUCCAUGAAAUCGGCGACCUUUACCUGCUUGAUUUCAUCGGACCCCCCAGCUUCGUCCAUGAUGUCUCUUCCAGAGUCGACAGAGUUGUUGUUCUGGACCAUCACAAAACUGCGGUCGAGAAACUAUCGGAAACACCUACUGGUGAGAACGUAAGGAAGGUUCUGGACAUGGAGAGGAGUGGGGCUACCAUUGCUUUUGAUUAUUUCAAGGAAAAGCUUAUUGGGCUCAAGCUUCCUAACCAUACGGUGGAGGCAGUAGAGGGUGAAUUUGAGCGGCUUGGGCCCCUGUUCGAGUACAUUGAAGAUGGUGAUCUGUGGCGGUGGAGGCUUCGCAAUAGCAAAGCUUUCAAUGGCGGUUUGAAAGAUUUGGGGAUUGAGUAUGACGUCCAGUUAAACCCCUCCUUGUUUCAGCAGUUGCUUUCUUUGGAUUUGGAGUCUCUAAUUAAUCAAGGCAUGGUGGGCUUAUCACAUAAGCAGAAAUUAAUAGAUGAAGCUCUUAUUCACUCAUAUGAAAUUGCACUUGGUGGUGGGCGUUUUGGAUAUUGCCUGGCUGUUGAUGCAGAUUCGAUUUCAGAGUUGAGGAGUGAACUGGGACACCAAUUAGCUACCAAAAGUAGCAAUCAGAAGUUGAGGGGCAUUGGAGCUGUUGUAUACAAAGUUCCUGAGCUUGAAAAUGACCAGUUGCUGAAGAUAAGCCUUAGGAGUUUGGACUGUGAAGACACUACGCCCAUCUCAAAGUUGAAAGAGCUAAAUGUGCUUUGCAAUUACUUCUCAGGAAUUUGGAGGUGGUGGACAUCGAAAUGCCAGUUCUUUCAUGUUGAGCUCUACAGAAUUUGAGCGGUGGAAGGUUUGCCAGAAUGUUUUAACAUAGUCAAAAGCAAAAUGGUCAUCAAGGUGGCCUUCAGAAAUGCUAACAUCAAUUCAACAGGAUAGAAGGCAACAACAAGAAACGGAGUGAAAAGAACAGCAGCCCCAUCUCUGAAACUUGAACGAUGAUGAAGCUCACCCCAACAUUUUUGCACCUGAGCGCCAUUCACCUCGCCGACGCCACCUCCACCUGGAGUUAAUCACCACGAUUCCGAGGCUGAAAAGUGCUUGGUUUGCCCACGAUUUAGUCGGCCACGAAGCCGAUACUCACUUCCAAGCCCGAGCCCCGACCACCUCCCGACGCCACCUCCACCAGUCCAGCACGAUUCCGAGGCUGCCACCUCCGCCAGUGGGCUUUGAUUCCGAGGCUGCCACCUCCACCACAAUGCCUGAAAGUCGACCGAUUGUUGACGCCCAGAGAAGAAGACACUGUGGGUUGUGGGUUGUGGGUGGGGGAGAGUUCGGCGAAAUAUUUCCCGAUUCCAAUAAUCACCUGCGAUAGGACGGGGUUAGUCGUUCUCGCUUACGGGAAGGACAGGGGAGUCAGAUUC